UACAGAGGGGGCAAGCGUUAUUCGGAAUUAUUGGGCGUAAAGGGCGCGUAGGCGGCUUGGCAAGUGGAAGGUGAAAUCCCUCGGCUUAACCGAGGAACUGCCCUCCAAACUGCUUCGCUUGAGACCAGGAGAGGUGAGUGGAAUUCCCAGUGUAGCGGUGAAAUGCGUAGAUAUUGGGAGGAACACCAGUGGCGAAGGCGGCUCACUGGACUGGUACUGACGCUGAUGCGCGAAAGCGUGGGGAGCAAACAGG
rnacentral:rRNA from 1 species